UACGGGGGGGGCGAGCGUUGUUCGGAAUCACUGGGCGUAAAGGGCGCGUAGGCGGCACUGUUAGUCAGGCGUGAAAGUCCUGGGCUCAACCUGGGAACUGCGCUUGAUACGGCAGAGCUAGAGGAUGGAAGAGGGUCGCGGAAUUCCCAGUGUAGAGGUGAAAUUCGUAGAUAUUGGGAAGAACACCGGUGGCGAAGGCGGCGACCUGGUCCAUUACUGACGCUGAGGCGCGACAGCGUGGGGAGCAAACAGG
rnacentral:rRNA from 1 species